rnacentral:lncRNA from 1 species
CGCUGGCGCCGCCGGUGGGAGUUAGAAACUCUGCACAUGGGGAUUGCUGUCUGUCCUGGUCCUUGCUGUAGCCCCAGUGCCUAGAGCAGUGCCAAGCACACAUGAGGUGCUCCACAAACAUGUGCCACCAAAAAAGAUCCUGAGAUGCAGGAGUCAGGAGGCCGGAGUCUUCCCUGCUCUGCAGUCAGGAGUUAUGUCACCGUCACUGCCGUGCAACGGAGCCUCUCGAGUGAGGGAGGGACCCUGGCAAUUUUCUGGCUCACAGCUCAUUCCAGAGCUGCCUGGUGACACAGACGGGCCCGCAGGCCUGGGAAGGCCCUGUUCCAGCAGAUGCAGCCCGGGACUCCCGCUCUGGAGCCCAGCAGGGCUUCUCCGCCCCCAAGACUGGAGGGGCUUCCCGGCUGAGCCCCAGGAUGUCAUCUGGGGGCUGGGUUCCCACCCCCUCCCCAGCCGCAGCCCCUCAUAUGUGCGUGGCACUCCCCCGUUACAGUUUACAAAGUGCGUUCACAGACAUUAUCACAUCGGCUCCUAAACGCCCCCUAAAAACCACAAUAAAUCUCUCGCUCUGGCUCCCGA